GUGACGUCGUAAGGCUGCGUCUCACCGAGCAACUCUCUGGCGUCUGCGAUCAGGCUGAAGAAAGACAAGAUAUUGUGUCCAAACACAAACUCCUGGUGAAGCUACUGAGAUCCACGUGACACACUUUUAUAAAGAUGGCAUUUAUUAAAGAGGAGAGUGAAGAUGUGAGGAUUGAAGAAACAUUCAGAGUCAAACAAGAAGAUACAGAGGAACAAACAGCAGAGACCAACUGGAGCCCCAAAGUGCAUCAGGACUCUUUUUCAAACAGGCGAGACGUGCAAGUAUCAACUUAUACAUUAAGUAUCAUAUGCACCUUUUAUGAAGGUGUGUUUGAACUAAGAAACUGAUGUUUCCUUCAGGCUGUAGAUCUGCUGAAUAUCAAAUUGUAUCAUAGCUUCAUGUCUUUAUUUCUCAUCUCUUUACUGCUUAAGCUUAAACCCUUUUCCCUAUGCACACUAUAUGUGUGUGUGUGUGUGUGUGUGUGUGUGUGUAUGUUAGACUAGUUUAAGUGUUUAUGUAGUUAAUAUAGUCUCACUUUAUCACACUUGAGGUUGUUCAUUGUUUGCUCAUAACUGAAGUCCCUAAUCAUGCAGAUUUUAGCUACAUGCUCUGAGUAGUAUUGUACAGUAAGAAAGUUAUUUUCCUUAAACAGGAAAGUAACGUUCUUAGAAUUGACAGACAGGUCAAGUAAAUACUUACAGCGGAUCUAAAUAUUUAUAAUUUAUCAUAACUAGUUAUGAUUGGUUAUUCAUAUUUCCCCUUUGAGCUGAUUCGCAACAGUAAUGGUGGAGAAGAAUGCGGGCAAGAUAAAACAAAGGUUAUGAGCUUAAAACACUGUCAACCUAAAAGUGUGUGCUUGAUAGUCCAGGUUAGAAUAGGGCGUGACUUGAGAUACUCAUUUGCUGGCUUGUUUAAAUGCAGAUAAAGUAGGGGUUUGAAUUGGUACCACUAUUAUGAUUGAAAGAGUCUUUAUGUAUUUCAUGCUUAAUGGUAUCAGUGUAAGGUUAAUCUGAUUUUAGCGAAGAAACCCUAAUUUCAGUAUUAUAGUGUAAGUCUGUCCUGACGAAGAAACCUCAGCUCAAUAGUCCAAACUGUACCAUAAUGCAUUAAUCUGCAUUAGUGAAGAAAUGACAAAAUUGCAGUAUUGUUUAAACUGUUUCUGACGAAGAAAUGUCAGUACAUUGUUAUAUAAAGUUAGAUUUGAGUGAUGCUCCUCUUUCUACAGCAUCAAGGCCUUAUAGAUUAUAAUUAGAUCGAUGCAAUUCAUCUACACUUUGACUGUAUGUAUACAAGCCUAGCAACCUGGUGGUCAUUACUGUGUUUCACUCACUGAGUGAAACUAAAGGU
ensembl:lncRNA